GACGAACGCUGGCGGCGUGCUUAACACAUGCAAGUCGAACGGAAAGGCCCUGCUUUUGUGGGGUGCUCGAGUGGCGAACGGGUGAGUAACACGUGAGUAACCUGCCCUUGACUUUGGGAUAACUUCAGGAAACUGGGGCUAAUACCGGAUAGGAGCUCCUGCUGCAUGGUGGGGGUUGGAAAGUUUCGGCGGUUGGGGAUGGACUCGCGGCUUAUCAGCUUGUUGGUGGGGUAGUGGCUUACCAAGGCUUUGACGGGUAGCCGGCCUGAGAGGGUGACCGGCCACAUGGGGACGGAGAUCGGGCCCAGACCCCUACGGGGGGCAAGGGGGGGGAAUUUGGCACAAGGGGCGGAAGCCGGAUGCAGCAACGCCGGGUGGGGGAUGACGGCCUUCGGGUGGAAAACCGUUUUCGCCUGUGACGAAGCGUGAGGGAGGGUAAUGGGGAAAGAAGCACCGGCAAACUACGG
rnacentral:rRNA from 1 species